CUCUAUGGAUAGAAGUGUAUCUUUGGUUUCUGUGAUUAUUGUUAAUGUUUGAUCAGUGUUAUUAUGGGAAUUUUGGCCUCUGCUGAUCUUCUAAGAACCACACUAAAGCAAAUUUUGCAAAGAAACCAUUAUUUCUAAUAACUUAGUGUGAUUCUGGCAUUGGACAGUCCUCUGUUUUGUAAGAUUCUAGUGCUAAUGUUCCUGUGUGUAGGAAUGUGAUUGAAAUGAAUGGUGAAGAAGAAUUUCGUUAAGUUUAUCUUGGAGCUGAGUACUGUGCUUCUCAUUUGAAAAAAAACAGAGGUAACCAUACAGAGUUUCAGGACUGAAACUUCGUUAUACCAGUUGACUCAGGCUGAUUACUCUUAUCUGGCUCAGUGUCUAUGAAACUCCCCAGUUGGAAAUGCUUUAGGGAGGGAAUGUCGACUGUGAGGACUUCUCUCUUGUCCCACUGAUAGUUUGAAGGUGACAUUAGACAGAACCUAGAGAUGUUCCUCUCUCCUUGUUUCCUCAAAUACUUAGGCCUUCCCCAAAACUUUUUAUCAAGGUGCAAAAUCAUUUACCAUCAGCGCAUACAUCUUUUCUAGUGCUCUGGUCCAAACUUUUAGGUGGUAAUGUUAAACCAGUUGGACUGCAGGUUUUUGGUUUCUGGGUUGUAAGUCAUGCUCUGCAUUUAGAGAAUGGUUUUUAAGGGGACCAGAAUUUGUGUGGACACUUUUUUUUUGCCUUAACCUAUUAACAACAUAUUGUUUUUUUCCAAAAGGCAUUGGCUAGAAUGCCUCCCAAAUUUAACUAGCACUUUUCUCUAUUACUCUAAAGAGCUUAAUAUUGAAAUUCUGACCUUAGACACUUGGGCUUCAAAAGAAUAGGACAUUUCAGAGGAGGCAAAAUAAGAGGCUCCAAUGUGGAGUCUAUUGGUAGUUCAGCUAAAAUUUGGUCUUGAUUCUGAGGUUCUAUCUUUAACCUCUGAUCAAGUAUUUGACUAGAUUGUUAUGGCUAACAUGCUGAAGAAAAUUUGUGUAUAAGUACUUCUAUAUUUGCUUUUGGGCAUUUUUUUGUUUAUUAAAACAUAUUGUGAACUUCAGAGUUAAGGAACUAAAAAUGAUUUACUGUAAGUCCAGGUUGAGACUUGAGGAUCUUAUCUGGUUAGAACUUGCAGAACUACUUGAAAA
rnacentral:lncRNA from 1 species